GAAAGAUGGUUUCGGCUAUCGCUUACAGAUGGGCCCGCGGUGCAUUAGCUAGUUGGUAGGGUAAUGGCCUACCAAGGCAACGAUGCAUAGCCGACCUGAGAGGGUGAUCGGCCACACUGGGACUGAGACACGGCCCAGACUCCUACGGGAGGCAGCAGUAGGGAAUCUUCCGCAAUGGACGAAAGUCUGACGGAGCAACGCCGCGUGUAUGAAGAAGGUUUUCGGAUCGUAAAGUACUGUUGUUAGAGAAGAACAAGGAUAAGAGUAACUGCUUGUCCCUUGACGGUAUCUAACCAGAAAGCCACGGCUAACUACGUGCCAGCAGCCGCGGUAAUACGUAGGUGGCAAGCGUUGUCCGGAUUUAUUGGGCGUAAAGCGCGCGCAGGCGGUCUUU
rnacentral:rRNA from 1 species